rnacentral:rRNA from 1 species
AGUGAACGCUGGCGGUAGGCCUAACACAUGCAAGUCGAACGGCAGCACAGUAAGAGCUUGCUCUUACGGGUGGCGAGUGGCGGACGGGUGAGGAAUACAUCGGAAUCUACUUUUUCGUGGGGGAUAACGUAGGGAAACUUACGCUAAUACCGCAUACGACCUACGGUUGAAAGCAGGGGAUCUUCGGACCUUGCGCGAUUGAAUGAGCCGAUGUCGGAUUAGCUAGUUGGCGGGGUAAAGGCCCACCAAGGCGACGAUCCGUAGCUCGUCUGAGAGGCUGAUCAGCCACACUGGAACUGAGACACGGUCAAGGCUCCUACGGGAGGCAGCAGUGGGGAAUAUUGGACAAUGGGCGCAAGCCUGAUACAGCCAUACCGCGUGGGUGAAGAAGACCUUCGGGUUGUAAAGCCCUUUUGUUGGGAAAGAAAAGCAGCAGGUUAAUACCCCGCUGUUCUGACGGUACUCAAAGAAUAAGCACCGGCUAACUUCGUG